rnacentral:tRNA from 1 species
GGGUGUGUAGCUCAGGUGGUUAGAGCGUUACGUUGACAUCGUAAAGGUCGCAAGUUCGAGUCUUGCCACUCCCACCA